UAUAUCUCUCAUCAUUUACUCUGUUCCUCACAAGCAAUAAAAAUCUCACAACAUACAUAUACAGUACUGGAAAUGGCUAAAUCUCAAGUUUCCUACACCAUUUUCUUUGCCCUUCUCAUCUGUUUCCUCCUUGUAGCAUCCAAUGGUAAAAAACCCUUUGUUUGUUCAUUUCAAAAUAAAUUUUGUUACAAUUUUUACUGAGCAAAUCAUGUUUAGUAGCAUGCAGCAAUGCACAUUACACGCUUCAUUAAUCGACAAGUAGUAGUUUUUUUUUUUUUUUUUUUUUUUUUUUUUGGGGGGGGGGGGGGGGGGUCCAUUGCAACUUAGUGAACAUGUCAUAAGUACUUGUUUGGUAGGGAGGAAUAUUUGACACCGCUUCAAUGUAGAAAGGAGGUUAAAAUUUAUACUAUGUAGUCGUGUUCAGUAUCGAGCCCUUGUUUGGCUGCAUUUUUUAAAAAAUGCAUUUCUUUCAAAACUUUUACAUAAAAUAAUGACACAUAUAAACUCAAAACUUUUCCUUACACUUUAUCCAAAAAGUUACUAUUCUAAAACACAUUUUGCCUCCAAAAUCUCAUUUUAAUGGAGCAUAAACAUGGGCCGACUUAUCUAUGAAAAUUGAAGCACCUUUUUUGUGCUAAGAAAACGAAAAUGACAUAAUUUCAGCAUGCCUUCAAGCAACUCAAAUGUUGGUAAUUAAACUUCACUAAUAUAUAUACCUUCUUUUUGUUUCUCUCUCUAUAUAAAUAUAUAUGCAGAGAUGCAGAUGGCUGAAGCUAGAGUUUGUUCGAGGCUGAGCAAGACAUGGUCUGGAUUAUGCCUGAACUCCGGGAACUGCAACCGGCAGUGCAGGAACUGGGAGGGGGCUCUGCGUGGAGCUUGUCACAAAAGGGGCUGGGGAUUCGCUUGCUUUUGCUACCGGAAAUGCUGAGAUUAAUCAUGUCAACGUGCUGUCUUCGUAAUCACAUGAAUGAAUAAAUAGUUGCUAUUCGGUCAGCAACUAUAUAUGUAUCGAAAUCACUUAAGUACCAAUGUGUCUGUGUUUGUGUAUGUUACUACUUAAGGCCUUCAGCUUCAUAAUAUAAUUAUCAAUAUUAAC
rnacentral:lncRNA from 1 species